GAUGAACGCUAGCUACAGGCUUAACACAUGCAAGUCGAGGGACCGGCGCACGGGUGAGUAACACGUAUCCACCCUCCCCUUUACUCGGCGAUAGCCUUUCGAUAGAAAUAUUAUUACCCGAUAUAAACGAUGGGGUUGCGUUUCCUUAGUUUGUUGGUGAGGUAACGGCCCACCAACCCUUCGAUGGAUAGGGGUUCUGAGGGGAAGGUACCCGACAUGGGAAAUGAGAAACGAGCCAAGAUCCUACGGGAGGAAGAAGUGAGGAAGAGUGGUAAAAGGGCGUUAGCCUGAACCAGCGAAGUAGCGUGAAGGAUGAAGGGUUAUGGGUCGUAAACUUCUUUUAGAUAGGAAUAUGUAUUAUAUGAAUAAGGAUCGGCUAACUCCGUGCCAGCAGCCGCGGUAAUAC
rnacentral:rRNA from 1 species